GAUGAACGCUGGCGGCGUGCCUAAUACAUGCAAGUCGAGCGAACAGACGAGGAGCUUGCUCCUCUGACGUUAGCGGCGGACGGGUGAGUAACACGUGGAUAACCUACCUAUAAGACUGGGAUAACUUCGGGAAACCGGAGCUACUACCGGCUAAUAUAUUGAACCGCAUGGUUCAAUAGUGAAUGACGGUUUUGCUGUCACUUAUAGCUGGAUCCGCGCCGCAUUAGCUAGUUGGUAAGGUAACGGCUUACCAAGGCAACGAUGCGUAGCCGACCUGAGAGGGUGAUCGGCCACACUGGAACUGAGACACGGUCCAGACUCCUACGGGAGGCAGCAGUAGGGAAUCUUCCGCAAAGGGCGAAAGCCUGACGGAGCAACGCCGCGUGAGUGAUGAAGGUCUUCGGAUCGUAAAACUCUGUUAUUAGGAAAGAACAAAUGUGUAAGUAACUAUGCACGUCUUGACGGUACCUAAUCAGAAAGCCACGGCUAACUACGUG
rnacentral:rRNA from 1 species